rnacentral:rRNA from 1 species
CACUAUCGUUAACUGAAUACAUAGGUUAACGAGGCGAACCGGGGGAACUGAAACAUCUAAGUACCCCGAGGAAAAGAAAUCAACCGAGAUUCCCCCAGUAGCGGCGAGCGAACGGGGAGCAGCCCAGAGUCUGAAUCAGCUUGUGUGUUAGUGGAACGGUCUGGAAAGUCCGACGGUACAGGGUGAUAGUCCCGUACACCAAAAUGCACAGGUUGUGAACUCGAAGAGUAGGGCGGGACACGUGGUAUCCUGUCUGAAUAUGGGGGGACCAUCCUCCAAGGCUAAAUACUCCUGACUGACCGAUAGUGAACCAGUACCGUGAGGGAAAGGCGAAAAGAACCCCGGCGAGGGGAGUGAAAAAGAACCUGAAACCGUGUACGUACAAGCAGUGGGAGCACCUUCGGGUGUGACUGCGUACCUUUUGUAUAAUGGGUCAGCGACUUAUAUUCUGUAGCAAGGUUAACCGUAUAGGGGAGCCGCAGGGAAACCGAGUCUUAACUGGGCGUUAAGUUGCAGGGUAUAGACCCGAAACCCGGUGAUCUAGCCAUGGGCAGGUUGAAGGUUGGGUAACACUAACUGGAGGACCGAACCGACUAAUGUUGAAAAAUUAGCGGAUGACUUGUGGCUGGGGGUGAAAGGCCAAUCAAACCGGGAGAUAGCUGGUUCUCCCCGAAAGCUAUUUAGGUAGCGCCUCGUGAACUCAUCUUCGGGGGUAGAGCACUGUUUCGGCUAGGGGGUCAUCCCGACUUACCAACCCGAUGCAAACUACGAAUACCGAAGAAUGUUAUCACGGGAGACACACGGCGGGUGCUAACGUCCGUCGUGAAGAGGGAAACAACCCAGACCGCCAGCUAAGGUCCCAAAGUCAUGGUUAAGUGGGAAACGAUGUGGGAAGGCACAGACAGCCAGGAUGUUGGCUUAGAAGCAGCCAUCAUUUAAAGAAAGCGUAAUAGCUCACUGGUCGAGUCGGCCUGCGCGGAAGAUGUAACGGGGCUAAACCAUGCACCGAAGCUGCGGCAGCGACACUAUGUGUUGUUGGGUAGGGGAGCGUUCUGUAAGCCUGCGAAGGUGUGCUGUGAGGCAUGCUGGAGGUAUCAGAAGUGCGAAUGCUGACAUAAGUAACGAUAAAGCGGGUGAAAAGCCCGCUCGCCGGAAGACCAAGGGUUCCUGUCCAACGUUAAUCGGGGCAGGGUGAGUCGACCCCUAAGGCGAGGCCGAAAGGCGUAGUCGAUGGGAAACAGGUUAAUAUUCCUGUACUUGGUGUUACUGCGAAGGGGGGACGGAGAAGGCUAUGUUAGCCGGGCGACGGUUGUCCCGGUUUAAGCAUGUAGGCUGGUUGUCCAGGCAAAUCCGGAUAAUCAAGGCUGAGGUGUGAUGACGAGGCACUACGGUGCUGAAGUAACAAAUGCCCUGCUUCCAGGAAAAGCCUCUAAGCAUCAGGUAACAUUAAAUCGUACCCCAAACCGACACAGGUGGUCAGGUAGAGAAUACCAAGGCGCUUGAGAGAACUCGGGUGAAGGAACUAGGCAAAAUGGUGCCGUAACUUCGGGAGAAGGCACGCUGGUGUGUAGGUGAAGCCCCUGCGGGUGGAGCUGAGACCAGUCGAAGAUACCAGCUGGCUGCAACUGUUUAUUAAAAACACAGCACUGUGCAAACACGAAAGUGGACGUAUACGGUGUGACGCCUGCCCGGUGCCGGAAGGUUAAUUGAUGGGGUUAUCCGUAAGGAGAAGCUCUUGAUCGAAGCCCCGGUAAACGGCGGCCGUAACUAUAACGGUCCUAAGGUAGCGAAAUUCCUUGUCGGGUAAGUUCCGACCUGCACGAAUGGCGUAAUGAUGGCCAGGCUGUCUCCACCCGAGACUCAGUGAAAUUGAACUCGCUGUGAAGAUGCAGUGUACCCGCGGCAAGACGGAAAGACCCCGUGAACCUUUACUAUAGCUUGACACUGAACAUUGAGCCUUGAUGUGUAGGAUAGGUGGGAGGCUUUGAAGCGUGGACGCCAGUCUGCGUGGAGCCAACCUUGAAAUACCACCCUUUAAUGUUUGAUGUUCUAACGUUGGCCCCUGACCGGGGUUGCGGACAGUGUCUGGUGGGUAGUUUGACUGGGGCGGUCUCCUCCCAAAGCGUAACGGAGGAGCACGAAGGUUAGCUAAUCCUGGUCGGACAUCAGGAGGUUAGUGCAAUGGCAUAAGCUAGCUUGACUGCGAGCGUGACGGCGCGAGCAGGUGCGAAAGCAGGUCAUAGUGAUCCGGUGGUUCUGAAUGGAAGGGCCAUCGCUCAACGGAUAAAAGGUACUCCGGGGAUAACAGGCUGAUACCGCCCAAGAGUUCAUAUCGACGGCGGUGUUUGGCACCUCGAUGUCGGCUCAUCACAUCCUGGGGCUGAAGUAGGUCCCAAGGGUAUGGCUGUUCGCCAUUUAAAGUGGUACGCGAGCUGGGUUUAGAACGUCGUGAGACAGUUCGGUCCCUAUCUGCCGUGGGCGCUGGAGAAUUGAGGGGGGCUGCUCCUAGUACGAGAGGACCGGAGUGGACGCAUCACUGGUGUUCGGGUUGUCAUGCCAAUGGCACUGCCCGGUAGCUAAAUGCGGAAGAGAUAAGUGCUGAAAGCAUCUAAGCACGAAACUUGCCCCGAGAUGAGUUCUCCCUGAGACUUUAAGUCUCCUGAAGGAACGUU